CACACUAUCAUUAACUGAAUCCAUAGGUUAAUGAGGCGAACCGGGGGAACUGAAACAUCUAAGUACCCCGAGGAAAAGAAAUCAACCGAGAUUCCCCCAGUAGCGGCGAGCGAACGGGGAGCAGCCCAGAGCCUGAAUCAGUGUGUGUGUUAGUGGAAGCGUCUGGAAAGGCGUGCGAUACAGGGUGACAGCCCCGUACACAAAAAUGCACAUAUUGUGAGCUCGAUGAGUAGGGCGGGACACGUGGUAUCCUGUCUGAAUAUGGGGGGACCAUCCUCCAAGGCUAAAUACUCCUGACUGACCGAUAGUGAACCAGUACCGUGAGGGAAAGGCGAAAAGAACCCCGGCGAGGGGAGUGAAAAAGAACCUGAAACCGUGUACGUACAAGCAGUGGGAGCACGCUUAGGCGUGUGACUGCGUACCUUUUGUAUAAUGGGUCAGCGACUUAUAUUCUGUAGCAAGGUUAACCGAAUAGGGGAGCCGAAGGGAAACCGAGUCUUAACUGGGCGUUAAGUUGCAGGGUAUAGACCCGAAACCCGGUGAUCUAGCCAUGGGCAGGUUGAAGGUUGGGUAACACUAACUGGAGGACCGAACCGACUAAUGUUGAAAAAUUAGCGGAUGACUUGUGGCUGGGGGUGAAAGGCCAAUCAAACCGGGAGAUAGCUGGUUCUCCCCGAAAGCUAUUUAGGUAGCGCCUCGUGAAUUCAUCUCCGGGGGUAGAGCACUGUUUCGGCAAGGGGGUCAUCCCGACUUACCAACCCGAUGCAAACUGCGAAUACCGGAGAAUGUUAUCACGGGAGACACACGGCGGGUGCUAACGUCCGUCGUGAAGAGGGAAACAACCCAGACCGCCAGCUAAGGUCCCAAAGUCAUGGUUAAGUGGGAAACGAUGUGGGAAGGCCCAGACAGCCAGGAUGUUGGCUUAGAAGCAGCCAUCAUUUAAAGAAAGCGUAAUAGCUCACUGGUCGAGUCGGCCUGCGCGGAAGAUGUAACGGGGCUAAACCAUGCACCGAAGCUGCGGCAGCGACGCUUAUGCGUUGUUGGGUAGGGGAGCGUUCUGUAAGCCUGUGAAGGUGUACUGUGAGGUAUGCUGGAGGUAUCAGAAGUGCGAAUGCUGACAUAAGUAACGAUAAAGCGGGUGAAAAGCCCGCUCGCCGGAAGACCAAGGGUUCCUGUCCAACGUUAAUCGGGGCAGGGUGAGUCGACCCCUAAGGCGAGGCCGAAAGGCGUAGUCGAUGGGAAACAGGUUAAUAUUCCUGUACUUGGUGUUACUGCGAAGGGGGGACGGAGAAGGCUAUGUUGGCCGGGCGACGGUUGUCCCGGUUUAAGCGUGUAGGCUGGUUUUCCAGGCAAAUCCGGAAAAUCAAGGCUGAGGCGUGAUGACGAGGCACUACGGUGCUGAAGCAACAAAUGCCCUGCUUCCAGGAAAAGCCUCUAAGCAUCAGGUAACAUCAAAUCGUACCCCAAACCGACACAGGUGGUCAGGUAGAGAAUACCAAGGCGCUUGAGAGAACUCGGGUGAAGGAACUAGGCAAAAUGGUGCCGUAACUUCGGGAGAAGGCACGCUGAUACGUAGGUGAAGUCCCUCGCGGAUGGAGCUGAAAUCAGUCGAAGAUACCAGCUGGCUGCAACUGUUUAUUAAAAACACAGCACUGUGCAAACACGAAAGUGGACGUAUACGGUGUGACGCCUGCCCGGUGCCGGAAGGUUAAUUGAUGGGGUCAGCGCAAGCGAAGCUCUUGAUCGAAGCCCCGGUAAACGGCGGCCGUAACUAUAACGGUCCUAAGGUAGCGAAAUUCCUUGUCGGGUAAGUUCCGACCUGCACGAAUGGCGUAAUGAUGGCCAGGCUGUCUCCACCCGAGACUCAGUGAAAUUGAACUCGCUGUGAAGAUGCAGUGUACCCGCGGCAAGACGGAAAGACCCCGUGAACCUUUACUAUAGCUUGACACUGAACAUUGAGCCUUGAUGUGUAGGAUAGGUGGGAGGCUUUGAAGUGUGGACGCCAGUCUGCAUGGAGCCGACCUUGAAAUACCACCCUUUAAUGUUUGAUGUUCUAACGUGGACCCGUGAUCCGGGUUGCGGACAGUGUCUGGUGGGUAGUUUGACUGGGGCGGUCUCCUCCUAAAGAGUAACGGAGGAGCACGAAGGUUGGCUAAUCCUGGUCGGACAUCAGGAGGUUAGUGCAAUGGCAUAAGCCAGCUUGACUGCGAGCGUGACGGCGCGAGCAGGUGCGAAAGCAGGUCAUAGUGAUCCGGUGGUUCUGAAUGGAAGGGCCAUCGCUCAACGGAUAAAAGGUACUCCGGGGAUAACAGGCUGAUACCGCCCAAGAGUUCAUAUCGACGGCGGUGUUUGGCACCUCGAUGUCGGCUCAUCACAUCCUGGGGCUGAAGUAGGUCCCAAGGGUAUGGCUGUUCGCCAUUUAAAGUGGUACGCGAGCUGGGUUUAGAACGUCGUGAGACAGUUCGGUCCCUAUCUGCCGUGGGCGCUGGAGAACUGAGGGGGGCUGCUCCUAGUACGAGAGGACCGGAGUGGACGCAUCACUGGUGUUCGGGUUGUCAUGCCAAUGGCACUGCCCGGUAGCUAAAUGCGGAAGAGAUAAGUGCUGAAAGCAUCUAAGCACGAAACUUGCCCCGAGAUGAGUUCUCCCUGACUCCUUGAGAGUCCUGAAGGAACGUUGAAGACGACGACGUUGAUAGGCCGGGUGUGUAAGCGCAGCGAUGCGUUGAGCUAACCGGUACUAAUGAACCGUGAGGCUUAACCUUACAACGCCGAAGGUGUUU
rnacentral:rRNA from 1 species